rnacentral:rRNA from 1 species
GUGAGUAAUGCUUAGGAAUCUGCCUAUUAGUGGGGGACAACAUCUCGAAAGGGAUGCUAAUACCGCAUACGUCCUACGGGAGAAAGCAGGGGAUCUUCGGACCUUGCGCUAAUAGAUGAGCCUAAGUCGGAUUAGCUAGUUGGUGGGGUAAAGGCCUACCAAGGCGACGAUCUGUAGCGGGUCUGAGAGGAUGAUCCGCCACACUGGGACUGAGACACGGCCCAGACUCCUACGGGAGGCAGCAGUGGGGAAUAUUGGACAAUGGGCGCAAGCCUGAUCCAGCCAUGCCGCGUGUGUGAAGAAGGCCUUAUGGUUGUAAAGCACUUUAAGCGAGGAGGAGGCUACUUUAGAUAAUACCUAGAGAUAGUGGACGUUACUCGCAGAAUAAGCACCGGCUAACUCUGUGCCAGCAGCCGCGGUAAUACAGAGGGUGCAAGCGUUAAUCGGAUUUACUGGGCGUAAAGCGCGCGUAGGCGGCUAAUUAAGUCAAAUGUGAAAUCCCCGAGCUUAACUUGGGAAUUGCAUUCGAUACUGGUUAGCUAGAGUGUGGGAGAGGAUGGUAGAAUUCCAGGUGUAGCGGUGAAAUGCGUAGAGAUCUGGAGGAAUACCGAUGGCGAAGGCAGCCAUCUGGCCUAACACUGACGCUGAGGUGCGAAAGCAUGGGGAGCAAACAGGAUUAGAUACCCUGGUAGUCCAUGCCGUAAACGAUGUCUACUAGCCGUUGGGGCCUUUGAGGCUUUAGUGGCGCAGCUAACGCG